rnacentral:misc_RNA from 1 species
GAUGAAGAACGCAGCGAAAUGCGAUAAGUAGUGUGAAUUGCAGAAUUCAGUGAAUCAUCGAAUCUUUGAACGCACAUUGCGCCCGGCAGUACUCUGCCGGGCAUGCCUGUUCGAGCGUCAUUUCAACCCUCAAGCCCUGCUUGGUGUUGGGGCCCUACGGCUGCCGUAGGCCCCGAAAGGAAGUGGCGGGCUCGCUACAACUCCGAGCGUAGUAACUCAUUAUCUCGCUUAGGGCGUUGGGCGGCGCUCCAGCCGUUAAAGAACCAUCUUUAACUCAAGGUUGACCUCGGAUCAGGUAGGAAUACCCGCUGAACUUAAGCAUAUCAAUAAGCGGAGGA